CUGAGUUAGGGUUCCUCUAGGGCCCGACCUCCAACCCUGUGUCUACCUUACCACGUUGCUUCGGCGGGCCCGUCGGCCUCUGGUCGACCGCCGGCAGGCCUUAACCUGCUUGCUGGCCCGCGCCCGUCGAUGGCCAAUCUCAAUACAACUCUUGAUGAAACGUGUCGUCUGAGUACUAAACUAAAUAAGCAAA
rnacentral:misc_RNA from 1 species